UUUUAAUCAAACAAGGUUGAAAGAGUAGCAGGUAUUUGGCUGGUAGAGAACAGAAAGCACUUUCCUCAGCUUAAAAACUGUAUGUGACUCUGUAUACUCACACAAGUAAAUAUGCAUUCAGGCAGAGAGUGUAUGUACUCCUUUCUCUCUCUCUCUCUCUGUUUAAGACUAAGCAGGCAAUUGCAUGCUGAGACAUUAACUUAAUCUACAUGCCUACUGAGUAAGACAUUAUUUCAUGAAUGACAUCACAAAGGUAGAAACGCUUCUGCCUUGCACAGGACUGGAUCAGUGCAUUUUAAGGAGGAGUCCGCUGAGGGCUUUAGAGAAAGAAAGCAACAUACCAGGAAAAUGGCUAGGGUUACUCUGAAAAAACUCUGACUGCAUUUUAUUUCCUGCAAGUUCUAACUCCUAUAAAGUGUGCCGAUGAAGAGCAAACCCAGGACCAAGCAACCACCUUUGUCAGGGAGUCUCAGCCAGCACAGGCCCUGGAAAAGAAGUCGACACCGCCUUCCCAGUCUUAUGUAAGGCACAGGUACACACACAGACGGAUGGCACUCCAGUGAGAGGAGCACCUAUUUGCAUUGCUAUGGAACCUGAGGCAUGAAAGACCCUCAGUAAGUAAGGCUGAUGGGGCUUCAGAUUUGCAGUCCUUUUAUUGACUCAAAAAUUACAAUUCUUGGUUGUGGUGGGCCACAGAAAAACAGCUGAGCAGCUAGAACUUGCAUCAAUAACAGCGUUUGCAAAAUUUGUUAUGAAGCAACUGGACUAGUCCCUGUGCAGAACUCGUGAAGCCACCUUCCCAAAAUGGAUCUGCUUAUCACCAGUGUUAUCAGCCUCUAGUGGGUGGGGGAACUAGAGCACAAAAGCACCAGCAUAUCAGGCUCAAAUGCAUAUAUAUUAAAAAAAAAAAAAAAAAAAAGCACACUAUAAACCAGAAGUAAAUCAGUUGGGGCAGGAAAUCCAUGCAGACUAAGCAGUCCAGUGAACAAGAAAAUGAACACCACCUGGUUUCUACUGCCUUGCCUGUCCAUACAGGUUUUCUGAAACUACUGCAGUGAUGGUGUAUAUAAAAUAUUUUCAGUAGGGGCACACAGGAAUAAUUCAAUGUCUCUUGCUUCUUGACUCAAGACACCUUUUCUUAUGCAGCUGGUAGGAACUUGAAGUCUUUGGCCAUCUCCACCCUCUGCCAAUAGCGAUUGAAACUGGCCAUAGGAAACCAAAGACAGAGCACAGCAGGUGAGACAGGGUUCUCAAAACCACUGUGCUACUGCAUUAGCAUCUGGACAAAGUACUACAUGGCAAUCAUAUCAACUUAAAAAACACUUUUUAUCUAAAAAAAUUACAUAGACUGCGAGCAGGCUGGGAUAACUACACUUAUAAACAUUCACUAGAAAAUAUAUCUUUACUUUUGCAUGAGAAGGAGCUUUGAACAUGCUAGUGUUAAUUUAAGGCCUUAUCCAAAAAGACUAAAACAUAUGCUUGCAUUUGGUGCUCUAAGUUUUCCCCUUGAUAUAAAGGUCCUUUACAAACACCAAAUGGGAAACCUCUGAUAAGUCAUUUAAAAGCAAAUAAAAGAUGUCAGUUUUGUAAAUCUUUUGAUUGAUGCUCUAUAAGGAACUGGAUUUUUUUUUUUAAGUUGGUCAAUUAGAAGCAUUCAAUAAGCAGUGUCCCUUCAGUCAAAUCUUAAAGCACAGAAAAAAACUGG